rnacentral:rRNA from 1 species
CACGUAGGGGGCGAGCGUUGUCCGGAAUCAUUGGGCGUAAAGAGCUCGUAGGCGGCUCGGUAAGUCGGGUGUGAAACCCCCAGGCUCAACCUGGGGACGCCACCCGAUACUGCUGUGGCUAGAGUCCGGUAGGGGAGUGUGGAAUUCCCGGUGUAGCGGUGAAAUGCGCAGAUAUCGGGAGGAACACCUAUGGCGAAGGCAGCUCGCUGGGACGUUACUGACGCUGAGACGCGAAAGCGUGGGGAGCAAACAGG